CAGCGCCACGAGUGGGGGUCACGAUUAUUGGGCCUAAAGCGUCCGUAGCCGGUUCAGCAAAUCCUUUGUGAAAUCGUUGGGCUCAACCCAACGGCGUGCAGGGGACACUACUGAACUAGGGACCGGGAGGGGUUGGAGGUAUUUCUGAGGGAGCGGUAAAAUGCUAUAAUCUCAGGAGGACCACCUGUGGCGAAGGCGUCCAACCAGAACGGAUCCGACGGUGAGGGACGAAGGCCAGGGGAGCGAACCGGAUUAGAUACCCGAGUAGUCC
rnacentral:rRNA from 1 species